UAGAGUUUCGAUCCUGGCUCAGGACAACGCUGGCGGUGUGCCUCAUACAUGCAAGUCGAACGAGAAGCAGGAGCUUGCUCCUGUGGAAAGUGGCGGACGGGUGAGUACAACAUAGGAAAUCUGCCUUAGGGUGGGGGACAACAGAGGGAAACUUCUGCUAAUACCCCAUAUGAGCUUGGUUGAAAUACCAAUCUUGAAAGUUCCGGCGCCCUAAGAUGAGCCUGUGCCUGAUUAGCUAGUUGGUGGUGUAAUGGACUACCAAGGCGACGAUCAGUAGCUGGUUUGAGAGGAUGAUCAGCCACAAUGGGACUGAGACACGGCCCAUACUCCUACGGGAGGCAGCAGUAGGGAAUUUUGCGCAAUGGGGGAAACCCUGACGCAGCAACACCGCGUGAAUGUUAAGCCCUUCGGGGUGUAAAGUUCUGUCAAUAGGGACGAAUUUUGACUGUACCUAUAAAGGAAGCACCGGCUAACUCCGUG
rnacentral:rRNA from 1 species